UACAGAGGGUGCGAGCGUUAAUCGGAAUUACUGGGCGUAAAGCGUGCGUAGACGGCUAUCUAAGUCGGGUGUGAAAGCCCCGGGCUCAACCUGGGAAUUGCAUUCGAGACUGAAUAGCUAGGGUACGGUAGAGGGAAGCGGAAUUUCCGGUGUAGCGGUGAAAUGCGUAGAUAUCGAGAGGAACACCUGCGGCGAAGGCGGGUUGCUGGGCUGACACUGACGCUGAGGCGCGAAAGCUAGGGGAGCGAACGGGG
rnacentral:rRNA from 1 species